AGAGUGAACGCUGGCGGUAGGCCUAACACAUGCAAGUCGAACGGCAGCACAGUGGUAGCAAUACCAUGGGUGGCGAGUGGCGGACGGGUGAGGAAUACAUCGGGAUCUACCUUUUCGUGGGGGAUAACGUAGGGAAACUUACGCUAAUACCGCAUACGCCCUUCGGGGGAAAGCCGGGGAUCGCAAGACCUGGCGCGGAUAGAUGAGCCGAUGUCGGAUUAGCUAGUUGGUGAGGUAAUGGCUCACCAAGGC
rnacentral:rRNA from 1 species